ACUGGAGCUAGGCCAUGUGACUGCCCUUCCACAGCCACCUCUUGGGUCCUGCUGUGCCCAUCCUGAGCUUCCAACCUCACGGAGAUGCACCUAGGUGCUCACGCCAGGACCAGGUAGAGCCCAGUACCUGUCCUUCCAGGCAUGGGUGUGGCUUGGGGACAAAUUUCUUACCAAGAGAAAUAUGGCUAGAGAGGGCUUCAGGCCUAUCACCAGGCAGGGCUGCGCCCAGGCUGCAGGACAGGCUAUGCCCCGCCUGGCCCCGCCCUCACCACCAUGCGCUUGCUCAAUGGAGAACUGAGUUUCUGACCGGGCCUCGUCUGUGCCAGCUGUCCCUGGUGAGAUUCCCAAGGCUGUGCCUGGUAUUUGCCAUGGUUCUCAGCUUCACCUUCUAGACAUCCAGGUCUUGCUGGCCUGGAAAGUGAAACCCUUCCUCCUCAGCCUCCUGCGCAGCCCAGCUAUGGAAUUCCAAGACAUAAUUCCAUUUUGUCCUCCGCUCCCAACUGAGACCUCAAUGAUCCGGUGAUGCUGUGAUUCUCCAGGACAGGAAACAUCCUGGGAGCUGCAAACAUCCUGGGAGAACAAACAUCUACUCAGUUCCUCCUUGAUCUUGGACUGUUACACCUUGUUUACCCAGGAUGUACUGAACUCUCUGCGAGUCAUUUGUUACAUUUGUUUCUCCCGAUGUACUGAGUACUGAAUAAAAGGUGCAGUAAGCUGGGGGCUUUCGUCUUUGCCCCCCAGAGCAGCACUGAUCAGACCCAAAGCUCAGCUUCUUCUCAGUCUCAUUUUUCUACCUUUUCUGUAAUUUGCCUUGUGCUGCUGUGGCUCGCAGGAGACUAGGACUUAACUGCAGAGGUUCUGGUAACGUCCCCUUUCCCUGUUCUCUACAACAGUGCUAUCACAUUAUCCUCUCAAUUGUAGGAUUACAGGUUGUGGCAUUUUAUCUAUAGUUUCAAGUGUUAUACAACGAAUCUGUAUUACUUGUAAAGCAAAACUAUAAGUGUGAAAAAGAAAAUCAUCUCUAGCUUUUUCAAAAGCAGAUUAUUUUGGCAUUUCCCCAGAACGGCUGUGUCUCAGCAUGGCACUGUGGGCCAUGAAGGGAUGCUCAGCAUCUGCACAGGGUCGUUCCUUGACUUCCUCUAAUACGGUGGACUGCGUUGUUUUUCUUUCUUUCUUUUUUUUUUUUGGUACCGGGGAUUGGACUGCAUUUUUAAGAAGUUAUUGAGAAUGUAAUUGAGUUUCUUCUAGCUUCUCAUCCCUUCAGGGCUGCUGCCAACCUGGGAAUGUCCUGUCAGCUCGUUUGUGUAUCCUUGUGUCCUUCAGUGAGCCCUCCACUCACCCUAUGUGCAUUCUUCUAGGGACAUGAUAUUUCAACUCAAAAGGCAGCUUUUAAAGGGGAUAUAUUUACUCUGUGCUGCCACUAUGGAAAUCAGUACAGAGGUUCCACAAAAAACUAAAAACAGAGGGGCUGGAGAUUUAGCUCAGUGGUUCCGCCGCCUGC
rnacentral:lncRNA from 1 species